CCUACGGGGUGCUGCAGUGGGGAAUAUUGGACAAUGGGCGAAAGCCUGAUCCAGCCAUGCCGCGUGUGUGAAGAAGGCCUUCGGGUUGUAAAGCACUUUCAGUGGGGAAGAAAGCCUUGGGGCUAAUACCCUCGAGGAAGGACAUCACCCACAGAAGAAGCACCGGCUAACUCCGUGCCAGCAGCCGCGGUAAUACGGAGGGUGCGAGCGUUAAUCGGAAUUACUGGGCGUAAAGCGCGCGUAGGCGGUCUGAUAAGCCGGUUGUGAAAGCCCCGGGCUCAACCUGGGAACGGCAUCCGGAACUGUCAGGCUAGAGUGCAGGAGAGGAAGGUAGAAUUCCCGGUGUAGCAGUGAAAUGCGUAGAGAUCGGGAGGAAUACCAGUGGCGAAGGCGGCCUUCUGGACUGACACUGACGCUGAGGUGCGAAAGCGUGGGUAGCAAACAGGAUUAGAUACCCCUGUAGUC
rnacentral:rRNA from 1 species